ACUGGGUUUUACAGUGUUUGUUUGUUUGUUUUUGGAGUUAUAAAAAUAUAAAAGUGAAUCUAAAUGCAAUGUAAGGAGGCAAUGUCAAAUAUAUUGAUGUACCAAAAAAGUUGUUAUUCUAGAAACCUUCAGAAACAAAUAAAACAAACAAACUAACUAAAACAAACAAAAAAAGUAAGGAUGAAGUUUAAAGAAUAUAUGCUUUAGGUAAAAUAGGAUGAAGUGUAGAUAAAAGCCAUGUAUAACUUCUAUUUAUUUUUUAAAAUAUUUAUGAAAUUGUUAAUUAAAAAUGCAAAUGUAAAAGUAUCUCCUUAGCAUAUGUUUUCACCCAACCCAAUUAAUUGAACCAGGAAAAAAUUAAGAGUUUUGGUUUUAUAUUUUGUGUACAAAAUGGAGCUAUUAACUCAAAUUCUAAUUUUCUCAGUAAGCUGUGCAGGUACAAAAACGAGGUGCUUACAUUUUGUAAAUGUUUUUGUAGAACCUUUUAGUAACUUUGGUCCUUUCUUUAUUUCAGAUUCAACGUGUUACAAACAAACAUAUUCCACCUGUUACAACAAUCUGGCAUAUUACUUUCUUGAUACGUGAUGAUACAAUACCUCUCAGGUUUGCCGAGUAGCAAAGAGAAAUCUCAGUUAUAAACAACAGUAUGUGGGGAACAUCCUGUCUCCACAAAAGGAGUAGUGACUUCUGGUUCCUGGAUGGACAGCUGGUGAAAUUGCCAUAGUACAAUUUGCCUGCCAGCGUUGGGCUGAGGGCUUCACAUGGCAGAAGCAUGCCAGGCUAAGUAAUGAUUUUUUUUUCAUUGGGAUGUCAUUGAGAGGUCUCGAGUGGUUUCAAAUGCACAGUUGUGCCCCUUGUAUACACCAAAAACAUUCUAUGUUUUAAUUCUAUAUAGAAGCAAAUUUACCUGCAGGUACAAAGUGAUAUUAAAAUGUUA
ensembl:lncRNA